rnacentral:lncRNA from 1 species
GUUACUAUUGUAAGAAGUUUGGUCACUUUACUGCUGACUGUUGGUCAAACAAGGAAAGGAAAUCAGAAGAAGCAAACAUAGCCAUAGGAGACUAGUGGUAUAUAAACACUGGCUGCUCAAACCAACCAACUAUAAACAAACAAUGGUUGAUUAAUUUUGACCCUAGAAAGUGGACAAAGAUCAAACGUGCUAAUGAUAAGUAUCUGAAUGCUGGAGGAAUGGGAAAUGUCAAGGUCAAAGUGAAGAAUGGAAAAACUGUUCUGAU